rnacentral:rRNA from 1 species
UACGGAGGGUGCAAGCGUUACUCGGAAUCACUGGGCGUAAAGGACGCGUAGGCGGAUUAUCAAGUCUCUUGUGAAAUCCUAUGGCUUAACCAUAGAACUGCUUGGGAAACUGGUAAUCUAGAGUGAGGGAGAGGCAGAUGGAAUUGGUGGUGUAGGGGUAAAAUGCGUAGAGAUCACGAGGAAUACCGAUUGCGAAGGCGAUCUGCUGGAACACAACUGACGCUAAUGCGUGAAAGCGUGGGGAGCAAACAGG